CUGCUAUUGUAGGUGUCUCCAAGACAUCGGCUUCAGGUUUUGUGUCGGCUUCAGGAUAGAUCUCCAUCACAGGCACAUCAGUUUAAACAGGUUUCUCCGCAUCCAUCAGGUAAUCAGAGGAUCCAAGCUCCGACUCUCCAGAUUCCGAUCCAGGAUCCGAAACCGGUCCUUGAUUCUCAACCAGAACCUCGCUGCCGAUGAAGACUCUGCUGGUUCCGCCGCCGCCGCCUAAACUAUUAAAAAAUCAAAAAUCAGAUUCGAAACCAAAAAAAAAAAGAAAGAAACUCAGAUUCGGACAAGAACAAACAUACAAAUUCAAUAGCGGCAUCGAUCUUAACCUUAGGUCGCUUGGUAGGGGGUGGAGAUGAUGAAGACGGUUCAGGGGAUAAAGAAGAAGAACAGAAACGCUUGAAAGCCGAAGAGCUACGUCUCGUCUCCACGAUAUCCCAAGAAAUCAUAAACAUAUGUAUUUAUUAUUUAAUAACGAAACCAAACUGAGAUAACCAAACCAGACAUGAAUUAUGGGACCCACAAACAUAAAGGAGUCGCUGACGUGGAUAGCUUUAGGAGAGACUAAACUGUGGCAUUAUAAUAUAGAUUGUGUCUCCCAGAGAUUGCAAUCAAUUCAAUAGCCCCAACUCUGAAUCUCGAUGGUUUACAUAGUUUCAUGGGACGAAUUCGUAGAUCGAUCUGUUCAGCUUUUCAAAGCUGAUCCCGAAUCUGUAAGUUAUCUUUAUCUUUCCCGAUUGCGUUCGUCACAGUUGCUUUGGAGAUUUUGAGCUUCAUUUUAACUGUUUGGGUUAUGAUCCGUCUCGAGUUUUUCGUAUUGAGGAUUCGAUAAACAUUGAUAAUUGAUUUGAAAUAGGCAAUCUACAUGUUUUGUUUCCAGAAUGCAGUAAUUUUGUUUUCUAAUGAAUUAGAUGUUUGGGGUGCAGACUCGGUACGUUGUCAAGUAUAGACAUUGUGAUGGCAAGUUGGUUCUCAAGGUUACUGAUAACAAAGAGGUCGGUACACCCUGUCUACGAUCGCUUCUUGUAAUUGUUUGUGCUUCUCGUAUUGUACGUGUACUAUAAUAGAUACUUGUUGGUUUGGAGAAUGUAGCAGUUUUCUUAUGUAUUGGCCGGGUCAUGAGUUAAAUAAGCAGAUCUACUGGUAGCAGUUUACCUUGGUGAAGCUUGUUUGUGUUUGUUACUCAAAGGUCUAUGCAUUGAGCUACGCCAAAGUUUGAGACAGAGAAUUGCCUCUAUCUCUGUUGUUAAUUAGCUCCUCCCUGUUGUUGCCCUCUUGUUUCAUUAUGUGCAUUUUUUUUUUAAUUUUUUUUUCUUUGAUCUUAGUGUCUCAAGUUCAAGACGGACCAAGCACAAGAAGCAAGGAAGAUGGAGAAACUGAAUAACAUAUUCUUCACCUUCAUGGCCAGAGGACCUGAUGGUAACAUCUUCUUUUCUUUAAUCUUCAUUAAAGAGAUUAUGGAAGUUUCACAGUCGAAGAUGUUCGUAUUAUGGUUCUAUGAAGUUCUACUCUGACUUUAUUGCUUACUUUAUUUAUGCAGUUGAUCUUUCUGAAGUGAACGGGAAAGAACAGAUGGAGACACAACCUGUGAAGAAAGGAAGAGGACGGAAGCAAUAAGUCCCAUGAUUCUGUUUUUCUUUCUUUCUUUUUGGUAUCAAGAUUUUGAUCCAUUUUUGGGGAUAUUCUGAGUUGGGGAUUGUGAUGAUAGGAUUAUUAAAUAUUGGUUCUUAUUUAACCUGACUUUGGAUCUAAAAAUACAUCUUUCAUCGAAAAUGCUAAUUAUGUAACCAUCUUAUCAUCCAAUCUUUCUGUCUGUCCUCUCAGUAAUAUGGCAGUCGGUGUGGCUUCAAUUCAUUUUCUCCCAAGCCCUCCUUUACUCUCAAGUAACAUACAAACUAAUAUUUAUCGGUUUUUAAUCAUAUAUAGUGAUAAGAUUUUGUUUUCGUGAGACUUGUCCCGAAUUGGAAUCAGAAUUGAUAUCAUACUCACUCAUGCAUUUUGACACGAACACCCCGAAAAACCGAAAUAUGACGUUGCUGAAAAUGUAACUUAUCUCAUGCCUGUAUAUAUAUAUAUAUAUAUACGUAUAUAGUGCAACUAUUACCUAAACAUUAAAAGCAUGGAGUUGAUAAAUAGUUUGUGCACGGCCAAGAGAGAGGAAAUCGAUCGGCCAUUAGCUGAUUUCCCGGUGAAUAUAUGGGAAGAUCCCUUGACAUCUUUUGUAGUUUCCGAUACGGUAUGUAUCUUUCCUUGUCAUCACUACAUUCAAUGAAUUAUGAAUACAAAUCAAUGUUAUUGUUUGAAACCGAGUUUGGUCAGAAACAAGUGAGAGAGACGAAACUCGUCGGUGGACUCAUUGGUGGACUAGUAACAAAGGCGUUUUAUUAGACCGAGAAGAAGUUUGUCGGUUACAAGUAAGGAAACAGACGGUGAAACAAGCCGGUGAAACAGAGUUCACCGGAAAAGUACAAGUCGUCAAGAAUUAAAUAAGCAAAACCCUAAUUCUAGCCGUCAAGUGUGUGGGUUGAUUUCGGAUCCCCUUUCUUGAUGUCGCCUCGUUUCCUUUUAUAGCCGGUCUCCAUGAGUUAAUCACUUUUAAUCGCCUGCUUGAGUCGGCUAAAAGUAGUUACGAGCCGAAUGUCUCGUCUGUCUUGGACAACUUUUAGUCGCCGUAUGUUGGUUUGUUGUUUCUCGGUUUUGGUUAACCAGGUUAUCUUUUUCUAUAAACCAAUCGUUUUGUCCCGGUUGAAUUCGGUAUGGAUUGAUAUAACCGGUUAGGUGCAAACCGGGUUUCAGUUUGCACUGAGAAGCGGAACUGUCACCAUGACAUAUAUUAAGUCUAUUUUUGUUAUGUUUCAAAACCCCGAUACAUAAUUCGUCAGAAAUUUGUCGAAAAUUUAUGAUGAAUUUAUGACAAAUAUAUUUCUGACGAAUUUCCGACGAACAUGGUAUAUUCCGACGAACUUUCGAAGAAAAUGGUAUAUUUCGACGAAUUUCUGACGAAAAUGGUAUAUUCGUCGGAAAUUCGUCUGUAAUUGAAAUUUGACAACAAAAAAACCCGCCUAAUUUUUUGCGAAGCACCAAAAUAAAAAAUUCCGAUGAAUUUCUGACGAACAUAAUCCGUUAGAAAAUUUUAAUAUAAAAACGUAAGCCCCUUCUGCUUCCUUAUUUCUCCUCUCUCUCUCUAAACACACACAAAUUCUCUCCGAUUCUCUCUCUCUAGUCCCGCGAUUUUAAGCCUUAAACUCCUCAAAUCCACCUCACAAAUUAUGUAAGUCAUCUCUUCCCUUUUCGCAUUUGACUAAUGUUACUUUUUGAUUGUGAAAUUGUGAAUUUUAGGUUUUGAAUGUUGGAUCUAUGUUCGGAUGAAGAAUUUUAUGAAUUAGAUGUUUGAUUUUGUUGUGGUUUAGAUAGGUUUUGAUUGUGAUUUUGUGGUUUUUUUUAUUUAAUUUGUUGUUUUGUGAAGUUUAGAGAGUUUUUAUUAUUUUAUAAAAGAUUUUUCAAACUUUAAAACCUUUUUGAAGUUUUUUAUAAUUUUUGAAUGUUUAAAAAAUAUAUAUACUUUUUUUUUCAAGUUUUUAUUAUUUUUGUUGUUGUUUAAAACGUUUUUAUGUUCUAUUAAACUUUAUAAGCUUUUUAUAAAACAUUUUAAGAUUUCAUAAAAAGUUUUUAAUUUUGUUAUAAUUUAUAAAUUGGUUUUUGGUUUCUAAAGUUUAUCAAAACGUUUUUCACGUUUUUAAAAGCCUUUUCAAUCUAUAAAAGGUUUUUUUUUUCGUUUUUAGAUUUAAUUAAAACGUUUUUCAAUUUUUAGAAAACGGUUUCAUUUACAAAAACUGUUUUUUUUUUUAAUUUUANNNNNNNNNNNNNNNNNNNNNNNNNNNNNNNNNNNNNNNNNNNNNNNNNNNNNNNNNNNNNNNNNNNNNNNNNNNNNNNNNNNNNNNNNNNNNNNNNNNNAAUAAUGUACCUUGAUACCAAAAGCAAGGAAGUACAGAGAGCAGUGAGGCUGCUCCUAAGUUAUUUGAAGCAACAUGCAAAGACACGUUGAAGAUAUAUCAUGUCUUUCCACACUGUCUAUAAUGCUGUCAACGCCUUGGUCAUGCCCUUGUCUUGAUGUAUGUAUCCAAGCCUCGUAGCUUAUGAGUGUAUGUUGUUGUCUAAUUUACUUGGGAACCUUAAAGUGCAUAUUCAAGUAACAGUACCACAAAAAAAAAAAAAAAAGUAACAGUACCACCUUUUUACUCUAUUCACUCAAAAUUAGUCAGUUAAAAAAAUAUCAUUACUUAAACCUGUUACAAAUUGAUAUAUAACCUAAGCUGUGUUUCACUUCAGCAAUCUAAUUGUACUACAAAAAGUUUUGCAUCUCUACAUUACAACACCAAACAAACUUCACAAUGUGCUCCUCAAAUCCUUGUUCCACAAACGUCACCGAGAUAGAAUAGCAGAUAAUGGGUCUUCUGUUCAUACCAGAGCAUAAUCGAUGGUCAUCAAAGCAUUGUACGUUCCCUCAUUGGCCCGCUGUGGCAGGUGAAGAAACUGUAGUCCGGCUGAUUAAAUUGCAGAUGCUCAGGCCAAUUAUUUGCAGCUUGUUGCAAGGAAGAUAGCUUGUGGCACUCUUGCCUCUUGAGCUCUGCUUUGGUUCCACAGAGAUACUUUGAGCUUAUAAGAUGUGAGUCCAAAAGUAGGCACCAGUAGCUUUAGGGAUGGUUAGGUCUCACUACAACCAAGGAACCUGCUUGAACAAAUAGACAACACAAUGUAAGAGAUCUUUCUAGGUUGUGACAAUCAGACAUACAUAUUAUACUGAUAACAUCGAAAGCUUAUGUUACUACUUCCGUUGAGGAGGUGUUGCUGAGAGAGAGUGGAAAGUUAGAAAGUAGUCAUCAACGUGUUAUAAUGUUGGACAAACAGUUAUUGGGUACCUAAAUACCAACAAAUUAAAAGAUCACCGUUUCACACACAUAUAAAUAUAUAUAUAUAUAUAUAUUUCAAAGAUAACAACCUCCAGCCCCAAGAGAAGGUUUGCAGAUUGAAAGAGAAGCGACAUAAAAUACUCCAAGCAUUUAAAAAAAAAUGAUCGAAUUUUUAGGGUGUCAGUAAAAAAUUACCUUAUGCAAAGAUUUGUGAUGUCAAUGGAUAACAGUGCGUGCCGAUCAUUUUUUUGAAUAAACCAAACUACUAUAUCAUCUCUGUUUUGGUAAAUCUCUACUUUCUUAAUUUAAAAGAAAGAAACGUCAAAAGAAGACACAUAUGCGUCACAGGCCAGAACAAAACGUGAGAAUGAACUUAACAAACUUGGCUGUUCGUGAGUGAAGCACCUGCGGUUGGACCAAAUCCAGAAACUAUGUUCAGAACACCAGGAGGAAGACCUGCCUAUCAUAUAUUUCAAGAAACAUACUUAAGGCUUUUAUUUUAGUAGCAAAAAUGGUAAGUAGAACGUGAAAGGAACGAAACAUUGAUUACUUCAAAAAAAAGCUUACUGACAUAAAACCAGUGAGAGGAGUUUGUUCAGCGGUUUUGAGGACAAUGGUGUUACCACAAGUAAGAGCAAGACCAACUUUCCAAGCAAACAUCAGAAGCGGAAAGUUCCAUUGAAUGAUCUGUCCAGCAACGCAUAUCGGUUCAUGCAGUGUCUGGACGUGAUAGUUUCCAUUGGCUGGAAUUGUUAGUCCAUGAAUCUUAUCCGCCCCUCCUACACAUCAAAGAAAAACUUACCAACAAAAGCAAGAAAAUUUGAUAGUAUUCUCAAGAUUUUGAUGUAUAUACCAGCAUCAUUACAAAACAAACCGGCGAUCAUUGCAAUCUCUGCGGUUUUGGCUUGAUCAUAAGUAUUCCCAUUGCCACAUGUGUCUAGAGCUGCGAGCUCUUCGCUGUGUUUCUCAACCAAAUAUGUGAAUCUCAGCAUUAUCUUUGACUUUUCCUGAAAUUCAAACAAAGAUAAGUCCACAUCACAUUAAAUUUCAUAGCUUUCAAGAUCAAAAACAUUAUAUAGUAUUAUACAUAAGCAAUCAUCUAAGGCCAAGCUCCUUCAUCAAUGGACUUCCUUGCAGCUUUCAUUGCCCGGUUGAUAUCUUCAGCAUCGCCUUCAGCUACGUUCGCAAUGACUUCCUUUGUGCGUGUAUCAAGAGCUGGGAAGGUCUUACCUAAACCCAAUUAAAAAAUCAAACAUUAUUGCUCAAGGAACUAAAAUUUCAAGCGUCAAUAUUUUUCCUUGCUAUUCCUCCGUUUCUGAACAAAGCAUUUUUUAAAAUGAAAACUUUACUCACCAGAAGCAGCGCCUACGAAGUUCCCAUUGUUAAGGAAUUGUGUGUAAGAAAAUUGAACCGAUGGGAUUAUGAUUUCUUCAGCUGCAGAGGAGGUUCCAAAUCACCGUACGAUUUCCCUUUUAAUGUAACAAAUUCUCCAUAUAACCGAAGUGUUUUAAUACAUCAUAGCCACAUAUUCACAUAUUAAAGAAUCUAACUUCCGGUCUACUUUACAACAACAACUUUUUCUGCUUUAUUGUUGUACCCUACUAAACACUAAAUGUCAACUAAUCCAAGAAGCAGCAAUGAACACCUUAACGCACUUAAAAUCUAAAAGACCAAAGAACACACAGAUUCCAAAGGAGUCGAACCUGAGCUUGAGAAGUCUCGAUUCACCGUCUUGCGAUAGCUCUGAUAGCACGCCCUGACUUUAUCACUUUCUAUUUCUCAAAGGAGACUGAAAAACGUUGGUGAGACAUACCUAUAUCUCCAUAGUUGCAAUCAAUGGACCUCUGAGCUGCACAAUAAUUAUGUAAGAAAAAAACUUUUGUCCUUAAAGAAACUGAGAUCAAAAAGAGGCAAAUAAGAUGUCCUUACAUCAGACUGCUUGAUUUCACACAGGGUGCUGGGCAUAGAUUGGUUUUUGAUAGAUAAAUUACCGUCGUCCAACAGUGAAUACAUGGCCUCUCAUGAUACAGUGUGGGGUUCUGAAAUUACAUAAAAAAAACACUGGGACAGUUAGACACAGAAGUAUUGUAGUCAAUAAAUAAAAAAGUCUCGGACAUAACAGCAUAGUUCUGUCGGAAAAAUAUAAAAGAACCAAACAUGAAGCCAACUGAACUCGUUGGGCAUGAACUGAAAGACCAAACCUUCAACAAAAAAGUAUUACACGCACUGCACACUGCUAAACCUUAAAGGCGCAACUCGCAGACUAUUAGAUCAAACCAAUAAAAAAACUAUCACUGAUGAAACUUGACCCACCUGAGAAUACUGACAAAGUAGCUUCGCCCAUGGAGCCUUAGCUCGCUUCUUCCCCGCCUUCGAGUUCUCACCAUCCGUCACCACUUCACCUAAAUCCACAAAAACAGUAGAUAUGAUAAUUAAUCAGGGAAAAAUCGUGAGACAGACCACCAAACCAAACCUGCUAUUGUAGGUGUCUCCAAGACAUCGGCUUCAGGUUUUGUGUCGGCUUCAGGAUAGAUCUCCAUCACAGGCACAUCAGUUUAAACAGGUUUCUCCGCAUCCAUCAGGUAAUCAGAGGAUCCAAGCUCCGACUCUCCAGAUUCCGAUCCAGGAUCCGAAACCGGUCCUUGAUUCUCAUCAGGUAAUCAGAGGAUCCAAGCUCCGACUCUCCAGAUUCCGAUCCAGGAUCCGAAACCGGUCCUUGAUUCUCAACCAGAACCUCGCUGCCGAUGAAGACUCUGCUGGUUCCGCCGCCGCCGCCUAAACUAUUAAAAAAUCAAAAAUCAGAUUCGAAACCAAAAAAAAAAAGAAAGAAACUCAGAUUCGGACAAGAACAAACAUA
rnacentral:lncRNA from 1 species